UCUGGAAAUGGCAUAAAUUAUCCCACUUCGUUUGCCUUCUCUGUUGCUUGGUGAGACUGACCCUACUUGGAAAAACUUCAGAUUGGGCCAAACAAGGGUAUUCUUUGGGCUGAAAGAAUGUCCCUGAAAACUCUGAUUUUAUAUACAGCAGAAUGGAAUAACAGCAAACAACAUUGGAGGAGGACUUGUCUGGGAGAGCAGCCAUUUUAAAGAAGAGCACAUUAAGUCACAAACAGUCGCAGCUGAUCUACUUUGCAGCAUCGCCAUACAUGCCUAACUAAAUAUUGAAAUCCCGGGAAAAACUCACUGUGCAUCAUGUUCCAGAAACUAGCUUUGCAAACAGUCUUUUCAGAUGUGUACAUUUUGUGUAUUUGAGGCAUAUAAUAUAUAUAUUUUCCUCCAUGUUCACCCAACCUUUACUCCUAUACUUAAUUCAGC
rnacentral:lncRNA from 10 species